UACAGAGGCCUCGAGCGUUAGGCGGAAUCACUGGGCUUAAAGCGUGUGUAGGCGGACAUCUAAGUACCUUGUGAAAUCCCACGGCUUACCCGUGGAACUGCUCGGUAUACUGGAUGUCUUGAGCCACCUAGGGGCGAGUGGAACAAAUGGUGGAGCGGUGAAAUGCGUAGAUAUCAUUUGGAACGCCAAUGGUGAAAACAACUCGCUGGGGGUGUGCUGACGCUGAGACACGAAAGCCAGGGGAGCGAACGGG
rnacentral:rRNA from 1 species